CUACGGGGGGCUGCAGUGGGGAAUAUUGCACAAUGGGCGCAAGCCUGAUGCAGCCAUGCCGCGUGUAUGAAGGAGGCCUUCGGGUUGUAAAGUACUUUCAGCGGGGAGGAAGGGAGUAAAGUUAAUACCUUUGCUCAUUGACGUUACCCGCAGAAGAAGCACCGGCUAACGCCGUGCCAGCAGCCGCGGUAAUACGGAGGGUGCAAGCGUUAAUCGGAAUUACUGGGCGUAAAGCGCACGCAGGCGGUUUGUUAAGUCAGAUGUGAAAUCCCCGGGCUCAACCUGGGAACUGCAUCUGAUACUGGCAAGCUUGAGUCUCGUAGAGGGGGGUAGAAUUCCAGGUGUAGCGGUGAAAUGCGUAGAGAUCUGGAGGAAUACCGGUGGCGAAGGCGGCCCCCUGGACGAAGACUGACGCUCAGGUGCGAAAGCGUGGGGAGCAAACAGGAUUAGAUACCCCCGUAGUC
rnacentral:rRNA from 1 species